UUUAAAUAGUUUAGGGAAAACGUCGGGUUGUGGUGCCGAAAAGAUAAGAAAAUUAUUUUAAAUCG
rnacentral:tRNA from 1 species